AGGCUUGUAGCUCAGUUGGUUAGAGCGCACCCCUGAUAAGGGUGAGGUCGGUGGUUCAAAUCCACUCAGGCCUAUCA
rnacentral:tRNA from 1 species